rnacentral:rRNA from 1 species
CUAGCCCUAAACGUUGGAUACUAGGUAUUGGAGGAGGAGAGUCCUUCAGUGCCGAAGCAAACGCGUUAAGUAUCCCGCCUGGGGACUACGGCCGCAAGGUUAAAACUCAAAGGAAUUGACGGGGGCCCGCACAAGCAGCGGAGCGUGUGGUUUAAUUCGAUGCAACACGAAGAACCUUACCUGGGCUUGACAUGCAGGUAGUAGGGAAGGGAAACCGGACCGACCCUUCGGGGAGCCUGCACAGGUGC